AAGGACUGUGCUCCCAAUCCGCUUACGCUCAAGGAAGAACUGGAAGGCCCAGAACCAGCCUGCUGUCAGGAUCAGAACAAAAGAGGAGGACUGCAUAUGUAUGGACCCACUCCAGAUGGCACGGGGACGGGGGGAGUAGGAAAAGUGGCAUGCUCGCUGGACAGUCCCGUCAGACACAGACAUGAAACUCCUGCGAGAAGACCAAGCCCUGGAUAAUAUCACCACUCAUCCUGUGGCACUUCAUUACAUUCCGGCUGGGGAUAUUUGAAUAUUAGAUAUUAAGCAAUUCCUGUCAAUUUUGUUAGGUGUGUAAUGACAGUAUCAUAGUUAUAUAGAAGAGUGUCCUUUGGUUUUAGAGAUGCAUUCUGAAAUGAUUUGGGGUAAAAGGUCAGGAGGUUUAUAAUUUACUUUAAAAUACUUCAGCCCAAAAGCAAAUGAAGCAUAUAUUAAUUGUUAGAUGUUAACAAUUGUC
rnacentral:lncRNA from 10 species